UCUUGUCUUUCAAGACUGCAUUCCUCAUGGCUAUCUGUUCUUUUUGGAGAAUCACGGAGUUCUAAGCUUUGGCAGUUGAUCAUAAGGUUCUCUAAUUUCAGACUUUGCUAUAUACAGAUUGAUUUCCCUGCUGGUCUUUCCCCCUCACCUGUCUUAUCUGUCUGUCUUAGUUAUUUACUUUCAAGGUUAGGCUAUUUCAGAUUACAGACUGACUAUCAAGAGGUGACUCAGCUUCUGCAUUGUGGGUAUGAAGGAGUUCCUUAAAGUGUCCAUCCUUUUUGUUGCUGUUAGAGAUAAAUGCAAAGGUCUCACAGGAAGCCCGUGGCAAAGCAGGGAAUUGAAUGCUGGUCUGCCAGGUCUCAAGCUUGUUCCCUACACACUGAACCAUCCUUCCUCUUUCAUAUGUCACUCAGCAUUUGUACCAGCCAACAUCUUUUUGAGGUGCUGUCUUCUUCUCCAAGCCUCUCACAGUUCUGGAGUCCUCUUGGAAUAUCUAGUAAACCUCUUUGAGAUCUACUGAUGAAAAGCAC